CAAUCGUUCAUCUGAGAUCAAGUCAUCGCGAACCUUGGAUCAACAACCUACGCAUCUACAUCAAAUUUGAAGACUGAAUCAAAGGAAAAUUGUAAACAUAGAUUGUAACCCUACAAAUUCAUCAAUAAAAAUCUACUUUGUACAAGUGUUCUCGUUUCAUUCGUUACAAAAUUUUUGUGUUUACAAAUACAUUGCCACCACUUUAGGUGUUAACAAUAAAGAGUGCAAAAGCAUUGCAACAUGAAAUUUUGAUGUAUGUUAACACCAUUAUCUUUAAAUGUGGUUUUUUAACGGAUUCCACUCGUAAUUUUUUGCUGCUCUUUUUUCGCAGAAGUUUCUCUACUUACAUAAAUGCUUUACGAAUUUCAGUUUUUAUUCUCUGAUUAUUUUUUGCAGCGGUUGUAAUAAUUUUGUUUUAACUAAUUUUCUGAUUUUGGGGUUUUCCAGGGAGUGGAAUUUUGGUCUUUGCAGAUUUUUGGGCUUUGAGAUGGGUAUAUAUUGUUUUUAUUGUUUUGGUUCUUACGUGUUCCUUUCUUUGAUUUAUGUUGUCUGUCUGCUUCUCCAUUACUUCAUAAUUCAUUUUCCAGUGUUGGGUGAUGGAAUCUAGGAUUUUUAGUAAAUUUUCUGUGUAAUUCCAAUUGAAAUACUGGAAAAUGAUUAAAAUUAUUUUCUCUUUCUUUUUCUUUAUUUUUUUCAAAUUUCUCUUAAGUUUUUUUUUCUUGGAUUUAAAAGUAUCUUUUCAUCUCUCCAAUUGGUUCUUUUUUAUUCUAUCCAACCUUUUUGUCUUUUUGUCUUUUCUUUUUUUUGUGACUUACUGCAGAAGUUAGAAUCAGCUUUUCACAUAACAGGGAUGAUCAAUACGAGAAACUCAUCCGAAGAAUGAAUCCAGUAAGGUAUAUGCAAAAAUCAUACUUUGGGUUCGUAUAGAAACAUGACUUUUCUUUUAGCAUACAAUUUUGAUGCAAUAAUUUAUCUCAUGGUUUGUAAGAUACAUUUGAAUUUUACCUACCUGGCGGUCAAUGGCUGAUGUCACUUCUAAGAAGCUGAGAUCAGCAUAUGGCAUGUCACAACAAUAUAUUUUUCACAAGCAAAUGCUGAAACUU
rnacentral:lncRNA from 1 species